rnacentral:tmRNA from 1 species
GGGGGCGAUCGGUUUCGACGGGUGGUCGAAAGCGGGCGCUGCGUGUCGAGGGGGUCACGAUCCUCGUAAAUCCAGUGGCAAGUUGGUAGCGAUAACUGCCGACGACAACUACGCACUCGCUGCCUAGCUGAAACUAGGUCAGUGACGCCCGUCCGUGACGCCUUCUAGCGGGUUGCGGGCGUCAUCAGAAGGCUGGCUCCCGGUCGCUGGCAGACCGUCCCGGGAGCGAGAAUCAUGUCGGCCUGGGCGGUUGCUUCUCCCGUUCUCGUGACUGGCACUGCCGAGAUUGGACGAGAGCUACACACGUAGACGCGCUGGCCGGAAGCCAUGCGGACGCGGGUUCGAUUCC